rnacentral:rRNA from 1 species
AUUAAACGCUGGCGGCAUGCUUUACACAUGCAAGUCGAACGGUAACGGGCCUUCGGGUGCUGACGAGUGGCGAACGGGUGAGUAAUGCAUCGGAACGUACCCAGAGGUGGGGGAUAACGCAGCGAAAGCUGUGCUAAUACCGCAUGUGAUCUGAGGAUGAAAGCGGGGGACCGAGCAGCAAUGUUUGGCCUCGCGCCUUUGGAGCGGCCGAUGUCGGAUUAGCUAGUUGGUGGGGUAAAGGCCUACCAAGGCGACGAUCCGUAGCUGGUCUGAGAGGACGACCAGCCACACUGGGACUGAGACACGGCCCAGACUCCUACGGGAGGCAGCAGUGGGGAAUUUUGGACAAUGGGCGCAAGCCUGAUCCAGCAAUGCCGCGUGCGGGAAGAAGGCCUUCGGGUUGUAAACCGCUUUUGGCAGGAACGAAACGGUGUCCGCUAAUACCGGGCGCUAAUGACGGUACCUGCAGAAUAAGCACCGGCUAACUACGUG